rnacentral:rRNA from 1 species
GGCGAACGCUGGCGGCAGGCCUAACACAUGCAAGUCGAACGAACUCUUCGGAGUUAGUGGCGGACGGGUGAGUAACACGUGGGAACGUGCCUUUAGGUUCGGAAUAACUCAGGGAAACUUGUGCUAAUACCGAAUGUGCCCUUCGGGGGAAAGAUUUAUCGCCGUUAGAGCGGCCCGCGUCUGAUUAGCUAGUUGGUGAGGUAAAGGCUCACCAAGGCGACGAUCAGUAGCUGGUCUGAGAGGAUGAUCAGCCACAUUGGGACUGAGACACGGCCCAAACUCCUACGGGAGGCAGCAGUGGGGAAUCUUGCGCAAUGGGCGAAAGCCUGACGCAGCCAUGCCGCGUGAAUGAUGAAGGUCUUAGGAUUGUAAAAUUCUUUCACCGGGGACGAUAAUGACGGUACCCGGAGAAGAAGCCCCGGCUAACUUCGUGCCAGCCGCCGCAGUAA